rnacentral:rRNA from 1 species
CUCCCAAACCCCUGUGAACAUACCUUAAUGUUGCCUCGGCGGAUCAGCCCGCGCCCCGUAAAACGGGACGGCCCGCCAGAGGACCCAAACUCUAAUGUUUCUUAUUGUAACUUCUGAGUAAAACAAACAAAUAAAUCAAAACUUUCAACAACGGAUCUCUUGGUUCUGGCAUCGAUGAAGAACGCAGCAAAAUGCGAUAAGUAAUGUGAAUUGCAGAAUUCAGUGAAUCAUCGAAUCUUUGAACGCACAUUGCGCCCGCUGGUAUUCCGGCGGGCAUGCCUGUUCGAGCGUCAUUUCAACCCUCAAGCCCCCGGGUUUGGUGUUGGGGAUCGGCUCUGCCUUACGGCGGUGCCGCCCCCGAAAUACAUUGGCGGUCUCGCUGCAGCCUCCAUUGCGUAGUAGCUAACACCUCGCAACUGGAACGCGGCGCGGCCAUGCCGUAAAACCCCAACUUCUGAAUGUUGACCUCGGAUCAGGUAGGAAUACCCGCUGAACUUAAGCAUAAU